rnacentral:rRNA from 1 species
CCUACGGGUGGCAGCAGUGGGGAAUAUUGCACAAUGGGGGGAACCCUGAUGCAGCAACGCAGCGUGGGUGACGAAGUACUCCGGUAUGUAAAGCCCUGUCAGAAGGGAAGAAACUGACGGCACCUGACCAAGAAGCCCCGGCUAACUACGUGCCAGCAGCCGCGGUAAUACGUAGGGGGCAAGCGUUAUCCGGAUUUACUGGGUGUAAAGGGAGCGUAGACGGAAAGGCAAGUAUGGAGUGAAAGCCCGUGGCCCAACCACGGGACUGCUGUGGAAACUGGGUUGCUGGAGUGCAGGAGGGGUAAGCGGAAUUCCUAGUGUAGCGGUGAAAUGCGUAGAUAUUAGGAGGAA